rnacentral:rRNA from 1 species
CGGGUGAGUAAUGCGUGACCAACCUGCCCCAUGCUCCAGAAUAGCUCUUGGAAACGGGUGGUAAUGCUGGAUGCUCCAACUUGACGCAUGUCUUGUUGGGAAAGUGUUUAGUGGCAUGGGAUGGGGUCGCGUCCUAUCAGCUUGUAGGCGGGGUAAUGGCCCACCUAGGCUUCGACGGGUAGCCGGCCUGAGAGGGCGGACGGCCACAUUGGGACUGAGAUACGGCCCAGACUCCUACGGGAGGCAGCAGGG